rnacentral:rRNA from 1 species
CCUACGGGAGGCAGCAGUGAGGAAUAUUGGUCAAUGGCCGGAAGGCUGAACCAGCCAUGCCGCGUGAAGGGCAGCGGCCUAUGGGCGUUAAACUUCUUUUGUGCGGGAGCAAUAAUGGUCACGUGUGGCCAGACGAGAGUACCGUACGAAUAAGCAUCGGCUAACUCCGUGCCAGCAGCCGCGGUAAUACGGGGGAUGCAAGCGUUAUCCGGAUUUAUUGGGUUUAAAGGGGGCGUAGGCUGUGAGGUAAGUCAGCGGUGAAAGUCUGUGGGUCAACCAUAGAAUUGCCGUUGAAACUGGGGGGCUUGAGUAUGUUUGAGGCAGGCGGAAUGCGUGGUGUAGCGGUGAAAUGCUUAGAUAUCACGCAGAACCCCGAUUGCGAAGGCAGCCUGCCAAGCCAUGACUGACGCUGAUGCACGAAAGCGUGGGGAUCAAACAGGAUUAGAUACCCCGGUAGUC